rnacentral:rRNA from 1 species
UAAUACGAAGGGGGCUAGCGUUGUUCGGAAUUACUGGGCGUAAAGCGCACGUAGGCGGUCGUUAAGUCAGGGUUGAAAUCCCAGAGCUCAACUCUGGAACUGCCUUUGAUACUGGCGACCUAGAGUCCGGAAGAGGUUAGUGGAAUUCCCAGUGUAGAGGUGAAAUUCGUAGAUAUUGGGAAGAACACCAGUGGCGCAGGCGGCUAACUGGUCCGGUACUGACGCUGAGGUGCGAAAGCGUGGGGAGCAAACAGGAUUAGAUAUCCUGGUAGUCCACGCCGUAAACUAUGGGUGCUAGCCGUCAGGAAGCUUGCUUUUUGGUGGCGCAGCUAACGCAUUAAGCACCCCGCCUGGGGAGUACGUCGCAACAUU